GAUCGAGUUGUAAUUUGAAGAAGCGUUUUCUGCGUAUUUGAUCAGCCUAAGUCCUAUUGAAUGAGGCAUCACGGAGGGUGAUAAUCCCGUCCGGUUGAUCAUUUGCGUUUUACGAUACGCUUUCUAAGAGUCAAGUUGUUUGGGAUUGCAGCUUAAAAUGGGAGGUAAAUUUCUCCUAAGGCGAAAUAACGGCGAGAGACCGAUAGCGAACAAGUACC
rnacentral:rRNA from 1 species